rnacentral:rRNA from 1 species
CAGCAGCCGCGGUAAUACGUAGGGCGCAAGCGUUGUCCGGAAUUAUUGGGCGUAAAGAGCUCGUAGGCGGUCUGUCGCGUCUGGUGUGAAAUCCCGAGGCUCAACCUCGGGCUUGCAUCGGGUACGGGCAGACUAGAGUGCGGUAGGGGAGACUGGAAUUCCUGGUGUAGCGGUGGAAUGCGCAGAUAUCAGGAGGAACACCGAUGGCGAAGGCAGGUCUCUGGGCCGCAACUGACGCUGAGGAGCGAAAGCAUGGGGAGCGAACAGGAUUAGAGACCCGUGUAGUCCCUGUCUCUUAUAC